UACGUAGGGGGCAAGCGUUAUCCGGAUUUACUGGGUGUAAAGGGAGCGUAGACGGCGCGGCAAGUCUGGAGUGAAAGGCGGGGGCCCAACCCCCGGACUGCUUUGGAAACUGUAUAACUGGAGUGCAGGAGAGGUAAGUGGAAUUCCUAGUGUAGCGGUGAAAUGCGUAGAUAUUAGGAGGAACACCAGUGGCGAAGGCGGCUUACUGGACGAUGACUGACGCUGAGGCUCGAAAGCGUGGGGAGCAAAUAGG
rnacentral:rRNA from 1 species